rnacentral:rRNA from 1 species
CCUACGGGCGGCUGCAGUGAGGAAUAUUGGUCAAUGGGCGCGAGCCUGAACCAGCCAAGUCGCGUGAGGGAGGACGGCCCUACGGGUUGUAAACCUCUUUUGCCGGGGAGCACCGGGCGCCACGUGUGGCGUCACUGAGAGUACCCGGAGAAAAAGCAUCGGCUUACUCCGUGCCAGCAGCCGCGGUCAUACGUAGGAUGCGAGCGUUAUCCGGAUUUAUUUGGUUUGAAGGGUGCGUAGGCGGAUCGUUAAGUAAAGGGGGAAAUCCCCGCGCUCAACGUGGGAACUGCCUUUGAAACUGGCAAACUGGAGUGUGUGAGAGGAUAGCGGAAGUCCAGGUGUAGGAGUGAAAUGCGUAGAUAUCUGGAGGAACAUCAGUGGCGAAGGCGACUAUCUGGCACAUAACUGACGCUGAGGAGCGAAAGCGUGGGUAGCAAACAGGAUUAGAUACCCCAGUAGUC